UACGGAGGGUGCAAGCGUUAUCCGGAUUCACUGGGUUUAAAGGGCGCGUAGGCGGCCACCGCAAGUCGACUGUGAAAUCUCCGGGCUUAACUCGGAAAGGUCAGCCGAUACUGCGGGGCUAGAGUGCAGAAGGGGCAACUGGAAUUCUCGGUGUAGCGGUGAAAUGCGUAGAUAUCGAGAGGAACACCUGCGGCGAAGGCGGGUUGCUGGGCUGACACUGACGCUGAAGCGCGAAAGCUAGGGGAGCGAACGGG
rnacentral:rRNA from 1 species